GAUGAACGCUGGCGGCGUGCUUAACACAUGCAAGUCGAACGAAGCGCUUUAACCUGAUUCUUCGGAUGAAGGUUUUUGUGACUGAGUGGCGGACGGGUGAGUAACGCGUGGGUAACCUGCCUCAUACAGGGGGAUAACAGUUAGAAAUGACUGCUAAUACCGCAUAAGACCACAGAGCCGCAUGGCUCAGUGGGAAAAACUCCGGUGGUAUGAGAUGGACCCGCGUCUGAUUAGGUAGUUGGUGGGGUAACGGCCUACCAAGCCAACGAUCAGUAGCCGACCUGAGAGGGUGACCGGCCACAUUGGGACUGAGACACGGCCCAAACUCCUACGGGAGGCAGCAGUGGGGAAUAUUGCACAAUGGGGGAAACCCUGAUGCAGCGACGCCGCGUGAGCGAAGAAGUAUUUCGGUAUGUAAAGCUCUAUCAGCAGGGAAGAAAAUGACGG
rnacentral:rRNA from 1 species